CGGUUGAUAUAUCAAUUCAAAGUAAAAAGAAAAAGCAAUUAACCUGUAAACUUGCGUGAAUCGUAGUUAAACCGCGAAUUGUUGAACUGUUUUUUUUUCUUGAACCAAAUAUUUUAACCUAAACCAUACAAGAAAACAUCUUUUUCCCUAAAUCACUUGAAGCUUUUGUGACACCAUGUCUCUGCACUCAAGAUAAUGAGAUCAAACUCAGCAUCUUGAAAAAAUUAGCACUUGUUUUCUUAUCCUCUCUGCUAAAAUUAGCACUUGAAAAAAACUUAAGAGACAGAGGGAAAAUGGGAAAUUGAAACUGAGAUGUAUGAAAAGAUUUUUCUUAAGUUUUCUUUAUUUACUUUCUUUUUG
rnacentral:lncRNA from 1 species